rnacentral:lncRNA from 1 species
GGGAGGGGAUAUUUGUAGAUUUAAAGUAUGACAUUGCAAGGCUACACAUCUAUGUCUUCAUCAAGUGUUUGUUUUGGUAGUAUGAGAUACUGACAUGUAUACAUGCAAAAAGAGGGUCGUUUCUUGCUAUGGGUGUCCUAGAACCGCAGUGGGCAUCAAAUCAAAAGUAGUAGUUAUAUAUUACAUCUAGUUAACCAUAUCAUCAGUCUGAGCUGCAUUUAACAAAAGCAUCAGAUGCUAUGGCUAACUGUAGGCGUCACUCCUUUUAUUCCUGUAUGAAAAGGCAUUUAUAUUAAAGUUACAUUUGUGGUAUAAAUAUCUGAAUGGGAGAUUCUUGCAAUUGCUUUGCUUGAAACAUUAGCAACAUGAAAUAAAGCAAAAAGAUUAUACUGUGCAUGCAUUUGUUUAGUUUAAAAAACCCGUAUAAUAGGAUUACAAAUUUCACAAGGUUAUACAAUUACCAAAUAUUAUCAUUAAGGGGGUAUCAUUGUUUCUGAUAUCAACGUGUUAAGUAGAUUGUGUUGUACUCUUUUUCUUGAAUACAAAUGCAGAUCUUAAGUCAAUUUUUUUUUUACUAAUUUUCCAUUUUAGAUACCAGGGAAAAUAGAAAGCUGCGUGCAUGUUGGAUUUUUUUCAUGUCUAUUUUGAUUUGACAAAUGGUAGAAGGUGCUAAGGAAAGUACCUUAUUUGUGUUUUGUAGGUGGUGUUGCAGAACCGGGAUUUUGGACUGCUUCAGGGCUAGAAGUGUAUUCUAGCCCCUCCAAUCCCCUCUGGCUUAGAAGGGUAUUCUAACUCCUCUAAUCCCUUCAGGUUUUCUGGCACCCAAACUAACUCUCGGUGUCUAGUUUGAACCUCUGGUGUUUACUUUGUUUCAUGAGGAAUUUAUUGAAUCAUAGUAUUUGUCAUUUGAAGUUAAAAAUAAGAGAACUUGGAAGUGCCGGUGAUUCAGGGAGCGUUUGACAAAGUUUCCAAAGACACACUCCCAGCAAGAAUCACUUCUGUAGAGCUAAACGAUAAAAUCUAAAUUGUUCGUAGUGGGAGUGGAGUAAAUCUAGUCUCUAUUUUUCACUAUAAAGUGGGAGCCAAAAAACCUGCCUCCCACCGCUCCCCACUCUCCAACCUCUCAAAAAUCACUUCACGGCCUAUUUACCAAACGAUUUUUGUCAAAUAAAUUCACUUCUGUUAGAGAAUCACUCGAAAUUACUCUAUUAGAGAAUAGGCACUCGGAGCUAGAGAAUUAUGGAGCGGAGCUCUGCCAAACGAGCCCUCAAAUACUCCUAAGCUUCCAGGAGCGUUAGAUGAUAAAAUAUUUGUAUCCUGUAAUGAAGCAUGUUUUAACAGUUAAGUUUGAUUAAAUAUGAGGUUGUUAUGUUAAUGUACUAAAUUUUACCUCAGGCGAAGCUUUAAAAGUUGUUUCUGAGCUGUUUUUGUUUUUGUUUGUUUACAAAAAAGGAAAUGAAUGUUAUCAAGUAUGAAUAUGCAGUAGAAGCACAUAAUAUUAAGGUGAAUGGAAUGUUAUUGGAAAUAUACUUACGUAGUGUUGUUGUCAUCUGAAAAUGUAAUAGAUCAGGCAACCUGCGAUAUAAAUCAAUGGAAGUGAAAAAGGAGUUAGAAAUUUACAUGGUUGAAAAUUUAAUACUCUUUUGCGAGAGAAAUCUUACAUGGGAACGUGCAAAUGUAUGAGUUUUUGGUAUAGCAUUUGUUGGUGAAUCCUCAAGCAAUGGAGUUGAGUACUUUGCUCGAGUGGACAUUAUAUUCCUUCGUUGUUCAUGAAUAUUUUGGGUAAUGUUUUUUGGUGGUCAUGUGAUUGGAGUAUUGAUAACAUUUGGAAUACUUUUGUGUCGAUACGAAAUGAUUAUUUUGUGGGAGUAAUUUGAAGGUUGGGAAAUGAAUCGUCACAAUUCGUCAUGAAAUAUUGAUAAAAUAACCAGGAACAAAAGAAUAUAACAAUGACCAUAUAAUUAGCUAAUUAGCUGAGCUGACUUAAAGAUGAAUAUGAAAAUACAUAUUUGACCAUGUAAUUUGUGGCUGUAAUAAUGAAGUUUGCAUUGUGGAUAGCAGUUCACCGUACAGAAGGUUUUGAAGUGUGAACCAAUCACGAUGUCGGUCAGGCGAAUGAGAGAGCUGUAAAAUUAUGAUUGGUAAGUUUUGUUAGUCAUGAACAACAGUUUAUGUAUUUAUAAAAUAUGCAAGGUAGUUGAUGUAGUCGUCAGCAAAAAAGUAUAAAGAAACAAAAGAAUAUAACAGUAUCCAUAUAAUUGUAUCCAUAUAAUUAGCUGAGUUGACCUAAAGAUGAAUAUAAAUGUAUAUGUCAUGCAAGACGUGGAAAACUACAAUUUCACGUGCAAAGCAACGAAGGUCUAACAACCAACUGACAGCUGAGUGACCGGAUUGGGCUAAACCCAACCAUCCAUCUCUUUAAACGGGUCAUUGAUUGGGAGGGUCCACGCUGACCUCGGUUGGAGGCACCGGUCACACAACGCUAUAUAAAGUAUUAAAGGGUAGCAGAAAAGUACCUCGCCCUAAACCCUAAUCCACAGAAGGACUCAUCGCCUAUAAGUCGGAGUGACUGGAAGAGUUCUUCCCAUGGCGGCUUCGGAUCUCUGCGCCAGCAACUGGAUCCGAGCCCUUCCUUUUCUGCAGGACGGACAGUGGCUACACCUACGGCGACCAGCUACCAUUGCCGUGCCAAGAUCUACAUGACGGUAAUCCUUAAUCUCCUCUGUUCAUGUGUUUACCGGUGUGCACAAGUCCAGAUCCAAUCACUGUUAAUACUUAAGCACUCGGAUUUGACUAAGUGGACACUGCAAAGGUCACCAAAUUUAUAACACCAACAUCACAACAAAUUCAUGUAUAUGUAAGAUAUUUUGAGUAGCUAAGUUUAAUUAGCGUCUAUAAAAGCGAAGUACGGGUUAUGACAAAAUAAGAAUCAUAUACUAUUAGCCGGAGCACAUAUAUUCCAAAUGAAACGGAGGAAAGAAAUUGGAACUAUUUCUAAACUUACCUACAUAGGAAGUGAACAAUACAUUUAGAAAAGGUCAAUGAAUGGCACAGUUCAGUGCGAACUGUUGAUAUAAUAUUCAGAAACAAAAAAAUAUAUGAGUGCUCAUAUAAUUAGCUGAACUGACUUAAAGAUGAAUGUGAAAAUACACAUCUUUACCGUGUAAUUUAUUUCGUAUGUAUACGAGUUUGUAAUAAUGAAGCUUAUAUUGCAGAUAGCAGUUCACCGUACAGAAGAUUUAAACAAAAAAAAUAUGAAUGCCCAUAUAAUUAGCUGAAGUGACUUAAAGAUGAAUGUGAGAAUACACAUUUUACCAUAUAACUUAUUUCGUACUUAUAUGAGUUUGUAAUGAUGAAGCCUAUAUUGCAGAUAGCAAUUCACGGUACAGAAGAUUUUGAACAGUGAAAUAAUCACAAUGUCGUUCAGGUGUUUAGGCGGACGAGAGAUCUGUAAUUUAUCAAGGUCGUACUCUGGAUAUCAGGUUACCACGCAGGAGCUAUUGCAAUGUGAAUCAAGCACAAUGUUGAUGAGGUCGAUGAGCGAACUGCAAAAAAACACAAUUAGAAUUAGUAUGUAUCUGCAACAUUUAAUAUGUGAAGGUAUAUACAAUAGGAAAGAUGGCUGGUGUAGUAAUGAGGUUUGAAUAAGCAAGCCAUGGAAAUGUGUUAGCCAAAAAUUAUCUAUUGGGGUAUUCGAUCCAGCAAGUUCCCCGUAGGGCCCAUAUGAGUCAACCUUGCUUUACAAUUUAAAUAGAUGUGCUGCAGUAUAGCUAUGCAAAUAUGUUAGCCAAAAGAAUAUUGGGAUAUUUGAUCAAGCAUCAUGCGUGCAUGGUUCCACAUGAGUCUACCCUACUUUACAAUCUAAACAAAUUUGUUGCAGUGUCGUUUGCGGCAAGCAAGCUAAGUAGCAAAUAUGAUAACCCAAAAAAAUCAGUUGGACAUUCGAUCGAGCAACCUCCGUGCAUGGUCCACACUAGCCAACCUUUCUUCCAUAACCGUUAAUGGAGAUCCCCAUGGUGAAGGUCGUACACCGCAAUAGUGCAUCCGCGCUAAGUAGAGCAGCGCGAGCGGAUGGAUGUGGCAGAAGAAUGGGUGGGGAGGCGGGGGAUCCAAAAACUAUAGGAAGCCAGCACCGACGGGCACCGCGUCUGCGCGAUUACGCAAGAGAUGACAAUGUUAGUGCGAAGUGGAGAACUGCGAUGCUUCAACUGAUGCAACCCUUUUGGAGGUUGGAGCUCGCCGCAUGCGUGCUGGCCUCUAUGCUUCAUCACGGAAGUGAAGAGGCGGAUGGGGAGAUGAAACGGAAGGGGCCUACUUGCUGUGCCGUCAUACAGAUGUUCAGAACACGGAAGCGAAGUGACGACGCAUGGGAGCUAGGGGUGUGGGCGAGCACCGGCUUCAGGCACGUGUCGUCGGCGAGGGACAGUCGCGUGAACAUAUAUUCCAGGGCAUUCAUCCUC